rnacentral:rRNA from 1 species
ACGGCAGCCCCUGGAUUCGUCUGGGGGCGAGAGUGGCGAACGGGUGAGUAACACGUAGGUGACCUGCCCCAAAGAGGGGGAUAACCACUGGAAACGGUGGCUAAUACCGCAUGUGCUCCGUGAGGUUAGAGGCUCAUGGAGUAAAGCCCCUUCGGGGACGCUUUGGGAGGGGCCUGCGGCCCAUCAGGUAGUUGGUAGGGUAAUGGCCUACCAAGCCGAUGACGGGUAGGGGGCGUGAGAGCGUGACCCCCCACACUGGCACUGCGACACGGGCCAGACUCCUACGGGAGGCAGCAGUGAGGAAUAUUGAGCAAUGGGCGCAAGCCUGACUCAGCAACGCCGCGUGGGCGAUGAAGGCCUUCGGGUUGUAAAGCCCUUUUCUGGGGGACGAGGAAGGACGGUACCCCAGGAAUAAGUCACGGCUAACUACGUGCCAGCAGCCGCGGUAACACGUAGGUGGCGAGCGUUAUCCGGAUUCACUGGGCGUAAAGCGCAUGCAGGCGGUUUCGUAAGUCGGACGUGAAAGCUCCUGGCUUAACUGGGAGAGGCCGUUCGAUACUGCGGGACUUGAGGUCGGGAGAGGGACGUGGAAUUCCCGGUGUAGUGGUGGAAUGCGUAGAGAUCGGGAGGAACACCAGUGGCGAAAGGCGGCGUCCUGGCCCGCACCUGACGCUGAGACGCGAAAGCGUGGGGAGCAAACAGGCUUAGAUACCCC